ensembl:lncRNA
CCGUGGGUUCCCGGCCUGAAUGGCCCGAGCUCUGCUAGGGGCACUGAAAGGGCGAAGGCAGAGACCUCACUGGCCCACGUUCCAGGGCUUCCAGGGCUUCCAGGACUGACAUGUCGGGCUGUGGGCAGUGGUGCAGAACGUGGACAUGCCGUGAUGUGCGCCUUUCUCGUUAGCUGCCUUCCUGACUCGGCCUCUACCCUCUGGCCCCAGCCUGUGUUUCAUUCUCAGCCCAUCCACCUAUUCAACACAUAUUUAUUGAGUGCGUACUACAUGCCAAACGCUGCACCAGGCCCUGCAGGUGUCGAGUUUUCAUCUCUUUUGACCUCAACACAGAUAUACCAAGUACCUACCAUGAAUCAAAGCACUGAGGAUAUCACCUUGAACAAGACGAGAAACGUGGCCCUCGAGGAACUUACAAUCUUUGGAAGGAUGCAGUCAGAUAAAUUGGAAAUCACCAUGUUAAGGGAGAAGUUUCUUGAAAGAGAUACGUCAGAUGCUAGGGGAGCCCGUAAGCGGUCUGAGGGAAGCUGAAGGGUGGAAUGGCCAGGAGGUAACAAGGGGAAGAAGCUUCCACAGGAAAAAAAUCUACACACAAGACUUUCGUGCUCUCAAGAAAUGGAAAGACAUUUACUGUGGCUGUCGGAGAAUCAGGGUGGGGGAUUUGGAAAGAGCCUGCUGGCUGCAGAGGGAGACGGGACCUCUGGUUUGAAGUUUGGAGCUCAGUCCCCAUCACGGAAGGGCUUUUGUCCCUCCUGUGUCCAGUGCGGGGGAGUAGACACCUUUGGGCGAGUCACCAUCAAAUGCCCAGAGGUGGGUGCAUCCUUCCUUCCUGACCCAGGGAGGGCCUGGCCGCCCACAAUGCUGACCACCUAUCCGUGUGGACAGGGUGGGCUCUGAGGCCGGAAGCCAGGAAUGAGUGGGAAGCGGGGAAAGGUGUGACCCAGGAAGAGGUUUGACACUUUCUGAACAAAGGCCCUUUGUUCAGGCCCUUUGUAUGGUCUGGAGGGUGGAGGAGAAAGAUGAGCCGGCCUGGCCGGACCCAAGUGGGUUCUGAGUGUGAAGUCCGCACACGAGGGGAUGCCAACUUGCCUGGGGACAGAGAGCGCGGAGCCUACAGCGAGGGAGUCUGCAAAGCUCUGGCUGAAGCCUGCUGUCCAGAAAUGUAUACUUUGAAAAAGUGACCAUCUGGGGAGGUCUUAGGCCUUUCUCUGGUCAUUCUUCACUCCUUACAGGGCUCUGAGGAGUAGGCAGAGUAGGAGAACAAGAGAGAGGUCAUUGCCCCAAACUCUUGUUACGUGUAUGGAUACCCAGACCCUUGAGAUGUAGGAUAACUUCCCUGUGCCCCAUAAUCCUUUUUUUAAUUCUAAUUUUAUUUUUCUUGGCUGCACCAUGUGCAUGGCAUGUGGGAUCUUAGUUCUCCGACCAGGGAUUGAACCCGUACCCCCUGCAGUGACAGUGCAGAGUUCUAACCAUUGGACCACCAGGGAAGUCCCUGUGGCCCAUAACCCUUUGCCCAAGUCUCAGUCACAGCAAUGGCUGCACUGAACAGCACCUUGAUCUGUUUAGAUUCCUUUAUGAGUUCUCAAGGGCAGGGGCCCCAUCUUUGUCUACCUAGCACCUGUCACAAAAGUUUAAUUAAUGUUGCAGUAAAUACACGUGGCAGAAAAAUGCUUUACAAAUGUGAGGGGCUAUUGUGAUGGUUGGUGAGUGGAUUCUCCACCGUGGGACCCUCGAGUCCCAUCGUUGGAUACUUUCCCCUUUCACCUUCUGUCUGAUUCCUCACAUCACUGCCCAGUCCAAAAGCGACAAUGGUUCAAUGUGUUGUGCUGUGAAAAUUUCCACUUAACUACCUGGGGAUUUUUGUUUCAGCCCCAAAGAGUGUCAAGGUGAGCGUCCGAGCCUUGGCAGGACUAUAGUGGGGGAUUCAGUCCUGUAAAUCUCGCCACCAUGCCUACCCUCGCUCCCCAAGGAAUGGCGGUGCCAGCACUACCCAGUCUCUGACCAUCUCAGUUCAGGGAUGCUGUCUCCCCGGCAUGCUCACCUGCGGGCCUGUGAUCUCCCGCUGUAACCUCACAGCAGCCCCCAUUGCCUUGGAAUAAAGGCCAGGGCCUCUGCCUCAAAACACUCCUAAAGAAAAUGCUCCAGGACCAUGGAAACCCAGUGUUCCAACCUCUUGUCCCACCUUCCGCCCCAAGUCUACACUCCGGGUCCCUCCAGCAUCUAUGAGGUGAUAGGUUACCUGGGCACAUUAGGCCCUUGGAUUAGGACGGAGGGGCGGCAUCGUGCCUCUGGCUUUGCCCUCAACUGGCUGCAUGACCUUGGUCUCUGCGCCUUGCACGUCUCCCGAGGGUAACCGGAGAAGAGAGACAGUCGGUUGGUAAAGCUUCUGCUUGUGAUUCUCGUCCCUUUCUCACUGAUUCCUCAUCCUUCCACCUGUUCUGGAACCCUACUCCAUACACCAUCCUCCCACGUCUUUUAUAUGAGUUACGUCUCCCUUUUGACCAGGUCCAUCCUCUGGACCUACAAACACAAUUAAAUCUACUUAUGCUGCCUCCCCAGCCCCUGCUUACAAAACAAAAUAAAACGAAACAAAACAAAACCUCCCCUUGACUAUGAAACUUUUCCUUCCUAUUGUUUUCAACCAAAUUUCUCAAUAAGUAGUCAUACUUGACUGUUCCCAUUUCCUUCCUUUCCUCCCUUGCUGUUCAGGGGUCACCUCACGACAUGCCUCAUGCUUAGCAGGUGCUCAGAUGCUAGGAACUAGGUGGACGGCAGGUGGUGGAGGGUGCUAAGUUCUCCCUCUUAAAGAGGCGUCCAUACAAGGCUCGGUCCUUGGUCCCGGUUCCUCGUGUUUCUCUUUAAUGCAGUUCUCUUCCGUCAUUUGUUCUGUGAUAUCUAUUUUUUUGCCAGGCUUCUCUCAGAUCCCAGUGCUGUGCUCACCCUACACCAUCAUCCAUGGUGAUCCCACCUACUCUUACUGUUUCACUUACCACCCCUGUACUGAUGGCAUCGUGGGCAUCUAGGUAUCUCCAGCCCAGAUCUUUCCUCCGUUUUUUUUUGUUUUUUUUGUUUUUUUUUGCAGUACACGGGCCUCUCCUUCUGCGGAGCACAGGCUCCGGACGUGCAGGCUCAGCGGCCAUGGCUUACGGACCCAGCUGCUCUGCGGCAUGUGGGAUCCUCCCGGGCCGGGGCACGAACCCGUGUCCCCUGCAUCGGCAGGCGGACUCUCAACCACUGCGCCACCAGGGAAGGAAGCCCUUUCCUCCGUUUUUAUAUUCAACU